rnacentral:rRNA from 1 species
GGUUUCUUGAAUAAAUAAGAGAUUUGACCUGCCCACUGAUGAAUUGAAGGGCCGCAGUAUUUUGACUGUGCAAAGGUAGCAUAAUCAUUAGUCUUUUAAUUGGAGGCUGGAAUGAAUGGUUGGACAAGGUAAAUAUUGUAUUAAUUUAAUAUUAUAGAAUUUAGAUUUUGAGUAAAAAGACUUAAAUAUUAUUGAGGGACGAGAAGACCCUAUAGAGUUUAAUAAUUGUUUAUUUAUAUAUAGUUAAAAAGUAUUAUGUUGUGUAAUUAAAAAAUUAUUUAGUUGGGGUGAUUAGAAAAUAAAUAAAACUUUUUUUUAUAUUAAAUGUAUAUAUAUAAAUUAUUGAUCCAUUAUUUGUGAUUAUAAGAUUAAAUUACCUUAGGGAUAACAGCAUAAUUUUUUUUGAGAGUUCUUAUUGAAAAAAGAGAUUAUGACCUCGAUG